UGGCAGUGUAUGUUGGCUGCU
rnacentral:miRNA from 1 species